GGUCCUCUUCUUCUUAUUAUUCUUUCUUCAAAUGCUUGUAACUCUUAUGGUUAGAGAGAAGCAGAGAAAGGAAAGAGAGAGGGAAAGAGGGGGCGACGAGAGACGGGGGAGAGGAGAAAGUGGGUGAAUCAAAGAAAAAAAGUAAUAGGUGAGGGGAGAGAGAGAGGGGAGAGGAGAGAGUGGGGUGGGUGAAAAAGAGUAAUCUUUCUUUAUACCCAAAAGGAGAAAAAAGAUAAAAAAAGAAAAGAAAAAGUGCUGACUAGGCUAUGGGAAAGAAGUUACCGACAUCUCUCUUCCCUCCUCGGUUAUAAAUAGGGGGGUAUUUCAAAAAAAAAAAAAAAACAGUAGUAGGAACUCUUGCCCACGCAACGAGGUAUUCCAACCGAGUGCUCGACUGACUUGUCUGUAAGUCUCUGGUUUUUGUUAGUGCGAUGAUGUCCCCAACAACAUUCUGGAUAAACAAUCCUUCACGCCUGCAAAUUGAGAGUCCAAAUUAUUCAAACAGAUGAUUCAUCAUAUCAUGCAACACCAAGAUUCAUAUGAACUAAACUAAUUCAUCAUAUAUGUUCAAUUAAGAAUUAUUUAGACGACCCUUAAGCUGACAUGACCAGACUGGUGGAUAACCCACUGGGAAUUUAUACAGAAAACGAGCCCUAUUACUUGCAACAACAUAAGGUUCCUGUGAGUAGAAGCUCUUCUUUGAUCAAUCAUCCAUGGCUUCCUCAGUUUUUUUUAUCAAUCGUCCAUGUGAUUAUUGAUCUGCUAAUGAAUUAGGCUUUGCUAUAUUUGUUCCAACAUCUGGUAUCAGAGCCAAUAAUAUUGGCUUCUCAUUAAUCCGUCAAGGCUGAUGCUUAUGUAAUUACUAAUCAUUAUUUUCUUCUUCUAAUUACUAAUUAUUAUAUUCUUCUUCUAAUCAUUAAUCUGAUUAUACAAGAUGUUCCAAGCGAUUAAAUUUUGUAAAAGAGGAAAUUUGAAUUUAUACCCGUCCGCCGUGGUUUUAAGAUUCCGGCCACACAAAUCUGCACAAGCCUUAAGGUCCCUUCUCCACUGCUCCACCUCAUCUGGAUCUUCAUCCCUUUCAUGCUUCCGAAAUGCUUCCCCAAAACUACCGCUCUGUUUCCUCACUUGAGAAGGGUCAACGUCGUAGAAUAUUGGAUAGACUACUUUCCCCUCUUGGUCUUCUCAUGAUCUUCGACAGCUCGCUCAGGCAACCAUCCGGCCUCCGCAUACCUCUUUGAGAAGACGACGACCGCGAUCCUCGACCCUUCGAUUUCUCCGUCAAGUUCGCUCGGUGUAUUUUCCUCCCUUCUGAGCUGGUAAUCUACAAACGUGUUAAUUCCGGCACUGUCGUAACGCAAUGGAGAGGUGGUCUGUGAAGGUAGUGCGUGUGUCGUCGCCCUAAAGCUGAGGAACACCUCGUACUUCCAGUGGUUUGAACGCCGAGACGAAGCGAUGCGGCGGCAGCGGUGGCGGUUGCAUGGGCGGAUCUGCUGGUAUUCAUUGAUUUCAAGUAAAGAAGAGAAAAACUCCUGAUUCGUUUCAGUCUAAAGAAAACAAGUAUCCCUCCCAAGAUUCCCCAGUGAAACUCCUGAUUAUUUUUUGAAUCGCUGGAAGAUGUGUGAGAGCAAAGCAAAUUAAGGACCCCAGCUCUUUGAUUAUUGUUUUGCAAAAAACAAACCCUCGAAGAUCUGAAACGCAGCUCAAACAGAUACAAAUCCAAUACGAAAAUAUUAGAGAGAAGAGAUACUGCUCUUUGACGACUUCCAGUUCCAGCUCUUUGUCUCUAUCUCGAUCUCGGUCUUAGUCAGAACUGGCGGUUGUUGCGGGCGGUGCGGCGUCGGAGGGGCGCGAGAAGAGGGAGAGAAGAAAGAAGAGAGAGAAAAAAAAUUGAAAUAAUGCCGUGUCAAUAACGCGUGAGUGACAGGCGGCAUUUUUUCAUUUUUUGCAUUGGUCAAUGAUGUUACUGUAGCUUGUAAAUAACGCGUGAGUGCUAUUCUAUUUCUCCCACUGUCAAUAAUGCCGUGUCAAUAACGCGUGAGUGCUACUGCUUUUUACUAGUUUUCUUGAUUAGAAAAAUGGGCGGCGGAUAGAGAAUGAGAGCCUACAGACCCUACCACUGAUUUGAUUGAUGGCUAAGAAUUAACCUCUCUUUUGUGACUUGAAGUACGCCCUUAAAACUAAAGACAAUUCCUUGAAAGCGGUGGGUUAUAAAAAUUGUACCAGGAUUCUUUCUUGAGCUAAGGAUAAGGAUUUUUUUUAUCAAGGAGUGUAGGCCGUUGGAUGAAAAUUCAACGGCUACAAACAGGAGGUCCUUUUAAAGUUAUAAUAAUUGUAGUCGUUGAAUUUUCAUUCAACGGUCCACACUCUUUGAUCAGGAGAAUCCUCAUCCUUAGCUCAGGAGAGGAUCCUGGUCCAUAAAAAUUAGUGUUCUAAAAAUUGAUCUAAACAAUCAUCUAGACGGAGCUUAGGAACUGAACUUGUGGCUGACCGUAGCGAUUAGGUUUUAAUCGGUCGUAAAAUCGGUAAACUUAUUAGGCGGAUGUCUGAGCAAGAUUAGGCGGGUCUAGCCGGUAAUAUGCAUGCCUAGACGGCGAUGUUAAGUCUCCUGAACCUGGGGUAAAAGAUGUUGCAGAGUCGGGAGGAAAAAGAUGGUCCUGUGGGGACCACAUCUUCUUUUUCAAUUUAAAUGGACGGCAUUAUUUUUUCAUGGUCCCACCAUCUCUACAUUGGUUGCACGUUUGUUGACAUUCUUGUUUUUAAUAAUCUCAUGUUCUCGUUUAUGAUCUUGAGUAAUACUAAGAAGGUUAAAAUAUAAAGUUAAAUUUGUAAAUUAAAUGAUAUGUCAUCGAUAAAAUGACACGGAGAAUAAUAUAAUUUGGUUACAUUUUAAAUAAGCAAAUAUAUUUUAGAAAUGUUAUCAAUGACAUAAAUCACUGCAAAACCAAACCGUAGCACACAAAUCAUCCCUGCUAAAACAGCUAAAAUCACACAAGUUUACAAACAUUGGGAUAAAAUCCAUAGUUAUUCAUGUUAAAUAUCAUUACAAUAAGUUGAUUUUUGUUGGCUGCAGCCAUCCAACUACUAUGUUCCUUCAGCGCCCAAUGUUGGAUUUUCGAAGGCGAAGAAACUCCAGACAGUCUCCUUUUUGGCCUUGCUGCAGCUGCUGCUACUACUGUGUUACCACUUGGAAAUUGGAUGCUCAGAUUUCCCGUGCAUGCUGCGACUCUUGCCCGAGCAUUCUCGAAGACAAUCACCGCAUAAACUUCAAUCGGAAAUCACAAAUUUGCAUGCAAAACACGCAAUGAGACAUCACAAUCGUCACAAAUUUGAAGUUUAACUCCACUACCAUUCUUUCAACACCAAUUUAGAACGGAACUUCACUACGUCACUUAAAAAUAAUAAAAGUUUUUAUCACAAAUGAUCCUUAAAAUUAACCCACAAGAGCAAGAUGGUCUCUGAAAUUGAAAAUCGAUCAAUGUAAUUCUUGAAAAUAGGUGUCACAAAAUUAAUAUGGUCAUUUCAUCACAAUUUUAUUAUGCGUUGAUGUGGUUUAAUAAUUAAUUAAGAAAGUUGUGAAAACAUCUUUUUGCACAUUGAGAUUAUCUCAAAACAGAGCUUGUCAUUCUGCGCAUCACGAAGAUCACUGGGGAGCGCCCAACAAGCUCUCCAAGAUUAAGAUUGAGGUUGUCGAUCGCCCAAAUAUUAAUUGUAGAGCCACAAAAAUCGUCAUCAAAAGGUGGUCUCGAUCCGGGUCAAAUUCGAUGAAGGGUGUCGAAGGUUGUAAAGAUUGAUGUCUUGGGAAUUUUCUUUUUCAGAGAAGGGACAGUGAAGGCUAUCACAAAUAGAGGUAGAGGAGUAUCAGAUGGAAUCAGAGAUGAUUACCGGGAUCGAGUCUCUGGGUUGACAACUUUUUAAUUAAAUUUUAAAUUAUUACACAUAUUUCUAAUUCAUUUUUUUAUUUAGUUAGUUUGCCACACCAGUACAUAACAAAAAUCUUUGACAUAAUUACGACGGAAUGACCACAUUGAUUUGUUACAUCAAUUUUAGGACUACAUUGAUUAAUUUGCAAUUUUGGAACCAUAUUGAUGGUGUGGAUCAAUUUCAGAGAUCAUUUGUGGUAAAAGAAAAAAAAAGACUUGUGGGACACAUAACAUAAUUUAGACGGAAUGACCAAAUUGAUUUGCAACACCUAUUUAGAAGGACUAUAUUGAUUGAUUCAAUUUCAAGGAUCAUCUUAAUGAUGUGGACCAAUUUCAUGAACUAUUUGUGAUAUAAACCUAUAUAUAUUUUUUAUAAAAUGCCUAAGUCCUCGUGGUGAUAAGGUAUUUGCAAGAUAGCUCAUGGUAAGGAAAUUCGGAUUUAAACUUUUGGAAUAAAGUCCGUUAGGAUUUUAGUCCAAAAAACAAAUUUCCGUUAUCUCUGUUAACCUCAAAAACAAAACUUCGUAUUUCUAUGAAUUUCUGCACUGCCUUUAUUAUGGCUCAAUAGAAAUGCUCCCAUUUUUUGUUUUUUUUGUUUUUUAAUAGAAAUGCUCCCAUGAUUAAUCCAAUCAAGUAAAAAUGUAAUUCUAUACCGAUCCCUUGUGGUUUGUUUAUUCCUAAGUUGUUUUCGUGCAUGUUUUGGAGAGUAUGGAGGCUCUGCAUCUGUCUGUAAUGGCCAGCCCCUCCAUCUCCUUCUCUAUGAUCUCAUUUCUGUUUCUACAUGAUGUGAGAUGACAUUGAAGAACCAGUAAGGCCCUUUUUAACAAUUAAAAAUCAAGGCCCUCUUUCUAUUCAAAACACACGUGGAAAAAGAGGGGCAAUGAUUACUGAUUGAAUAUGAAGAUUUUUUUCAACCAUGAGUAAAUUUCCAGUGAGCCAUAAACAGGAGAAGGAACACCAAUGAAGGAGGAACACAAUGAAAAUGCACGAAAGUAACAAAUGAUGAAGGGGAGCAAAGCCCAACGGGACAUAAUGAGUUAACUGUAGCCACAUGCAGGGAAAUGUACGAAGCGUGAAUAUAGAGACUCAUGAUUCCUAACCCUUAAGAAAAGGGAAGCUUAAUGGAGAAACUAACAAAAAUUUUGAUUUUGGUCUUAAUUCCUAAUGUAUUUCACCACAAGGGUUUAAAUCAUUUUUCUUUUAUUUUAUUUUUUAUUUUUUUAUUUUUACCACAUGAACUAUCUUCAGAAUACUCUAUUACCACGAUGAUCAUUUAUUAAAUUAGGCCUUUAUAAAAUGUUAGUUCGGUUUAGAAUUACUGAACAAAGGCAUAUGAGAUCCUGAAUCCGGUACCGUACGAACUUUUUGUAGAAAAAGAAUAUGUGGAUGAAAAAGUAUAUUUCAUUAAUACGUGAAUACCAAUAUAUACAAUCACAUUCCUUGCACACCAAGGUAUUAACCCUACAAGUUAGGGAUACAAAUUAGGAAUACAAAUAUAAUUAGGAUUACAAUCAACUAAUACUUCUAUUUGUCUAACACUCCCCCUCAAGCUGGAGAGUGGAUGUCAAGAACUCCCAACUUGCGUAACAUAGUCGAAAACUUGUCCUUCCCGAGAGGCUUGGUGAACAAAUCUGCCAAUUGGUGCGCCAUACCCACAAACUUGGUUGCUAUAGUUCCAUCUGCAAUCUUAUCUCGUAUAAAGUGACAAUCCAUCUCAAUAUGACGAGUUCGUUCAUGAAAAACAAGAUUAGCUGCUAUAUGUAACGCUGCUUGAUUAUCGCAAAACAAGACGGAAGGACUUCCUAAAGGAAUGUUCAAAUCCUUCAACAAAAAACGAAGCCAAAUUAACUCACAACAAGCACCUGCCAUAGCCCUGUAUUCUGCCUCAGCUGAAGAAAGUGAAACAGUUUUCUGACGCUUUGUCCGCCACGAAAUCAAAGAAUUUCCCAAGAAUACACAAUACCCAGUAGUCGAACGGCGAGUGAUAGGACAACCUGCCCAAUCAGAGUCACAGAAAGCAGCUAAUUUGGUUUGAUUGUCAGAACUAAAUAAUAAGCCUUGACCUGGAGUAGACUUCAAAUAACGAACAACACGAAGUGCAGCAUCCAUAUGAGGUACACGUGGCUCGUGCAUAAACCGACUCAAAACAUGCACGGAAUAAGUGAUAUCCGGCCGAGUUAUAGUAUAAGGUAGAUUAGCCGUCCUAUUAAACGCCGAUACUUUUCAGGAUCUUUGAGAAGUUCUCCUUUAUCAGAUAAUUUAGUAUCAUCCAUAGGAAAAGCAAUGGGCCGUGCUCCCAGAAAACCAUAAUCCUUGAGAAUCUCUAAUGCAUACUUACGCUGUGAAAUAUAAAUCCCACGUUGGGAUCGAGAAACCUCAAUACCCAAAAAAUAUUUUAAAUCACCAAGGUCUUUUAUCCGAAAAUGGUCACGGAGAAAAGAUUUCAAAGCAUUGAUGGCACUGACGUCGUUGCCUGUAAUCACAAUAUCAUCCACAUAAAUGAGUAAGGAUGUGAAGGAAUUACCGGACUUUCUGGUGAACAAUGAAUAAUCAGCUUUGGACUGUUGAAAACCAGCAGAAAGAAUGGCACUAGUGAACUUGGCAAACCAUUGGCGAGAAGCUUGCUUGAAACCGUAAAGAGAUUUGUGAAGGCGACACACAAGAUUCUCCCCCUGUCGCAGAAGACCAGGAGAAUGAGACAUAUAAAUUUCCUUAUGUAAAUCACCAUGCAAGAAAGCAUUAUUAACAUCGAGCUGAUGAAGAGACCAAGACUGACUAGCAGCAAGGGCAAGAAGACAACGUACUGUAAUCAUCUUAGCAGUAGGAGAAAAUGUGUCAUGAUAAUCAAUACCAGCAGCUUGAGUGAAGCCCUUAGCAACCAAGCGAGCUUUAUAACGCUCUAUGGAACCGUCAGAGUUAUGCUUCAGUUUGUACACCCACUUACAAGCAAUAGGAACUUUGCCAGGGGGCAAGGGAGUCAAUGUCCAAGUACCAUUGGCAUGUAAAGCCUCAAGUUCGUCAGCCAUGGCCCGACGCCAAUUAGGAUCACGAGCAGCCUCUGCAAAAGAAGAUGGCUCCAAACUCCGACUGACGGAGUAAAUAUAUGAAAGAUGGGGUGGAGAGAUGCGGUGGUAAGAAAUAAAGUUACAAAGAGGAUAUCGUGUACCUUUGACAGAACCGGGCUGCGAAGUCGACGAAGGGUGUGGAGGCAGAAUCACCUGCGAGCAAACAUAAUCCUUUAAAUAUUUGGGAGGGUUGUGGGUGCGGGAAGAAGUGCGGGUAGAAGGAUUGGCAGUGGGUAGUGACUGAGGAGGGGGGACCGUGAGGGUGGGGGAAGGAGUGGGGUUGUCGGUGGAAGAGGGAAUAGGUGGGGCCGAUUGGGAAAGGGUAUUAGUGGGGGACGGGAAAGGUGAGAUGGAAAUGGGGUGGGGUGGAGAUGUGGUAUAUGGAAUAGGGGACGGAUGGAUAGGUGAUGUGGCAGGUGAGGGAGGAGAGAAAUGACACGUGGGUCGGGGAGAUGGUGGGUAAGAAAUAUCUGGGGAAGGUGGAAAAGACAGAGGAGGGGUGAUGGGUGGUGUAGGUGGGGGCGUGGCAGCAAAAGGAAAAGUGUUUUCAUGAAAAAUUACAUCGCGACUGGUGAAGGUGCGGUGGGUUUCUAAGUCAUAUAAUUUGUAAGCUUUUUGACCAUGAGGAUAACCAAUGAAGGUGCAUCGAUGGGCCCGAGGGGAAAAUUUAAUGGUAGGGUUGAUGGAAGUGGCAUAAGCGAGACAACCGAAGACACGGAAGUGGUCAUAGGAUGGGGGUUGAGUAUGGAGGACCUCAAAAGGAGAUUUAUUAUGCAAAAGUCGAGUAGGGAGACGAUUGAUGGUAUAGGCAGCGGUAAGGACACAUUCACCCCAAAAUUUGAGUGGAAGAUGGGAUUGAAAUCGAAUGGCGCGAGCGGUUUCAAGAAGGUGCCUAUGUUUGCGUUCAACAACGCCAUUUUGUUGGGGGGUGUAGACACAUGAAGUUUGAAAAAGAACCCCAUUAUCAGAAAAAAAAUUGCGAAGAGAAAUAAAUUCUCCGCCAUUAUCGGUACGAAUGCUUUGAACCUUUGUGUGAAAUUGGGUUUGAACAUAUGCAAAAAAUUGUUUGAUGAUGGGUUGAGUAUCAUAUUUAUGUUGCAUGAGAAAUACCCACGUAAAGCGGGAAAAAUCAUCCACAAUAGUCAAAAAAUAAUGAGCGCCAGUAAGGGAAGAUUGACGAUUCGGACCCCAAAUAUCACAAUGAAUUAAAGCAAAAGGAAAAGUUGUUGAAAUUGAACUUAAACCAAAAGGUUGACGGGUUUGUUUGGCCAGAGGACAAACAUCACAAACAUGACUAGAAUCUAAGGGACAAUUAAGGAAAGUAGAUGCUAGAACUUGCAGACUGCGAGAAGAAAGGUGACCAAGACGCCGAUGCCAUAAGGGAGAAGGUAUAGUGAUGAUGUUGCAUAGAGGUUGACGGGUGGGGAGAGAGGAUGCAAGGGCCACAAGGUAAUAAAGGUCGCCACAUCGCUUACCCACACCAAUCGUCACCUUCGAAACCAAGUCCUGCAAAACACACCAAGAAGGAAAAAAGGUUAUGGAACACGAUAAACCAUCUGUAAGCUUACCAACCGAUAAAAGGUCCACUUUAAAAUUAGGGACACAUAAAACAUCGUCCAAAUCAAUCGAGGAAUUUAAACGAAUAGUUCCAGUUAAAGUAAUGGGAGCGGUGGCACCACUAGGCAGAGAAACGGGUGGCAAGUGCGACGUAGAAGUAUUAACCAAACACGAAGCAGAAGAAGUGAUAUGAUUCGUGGCGCCGCUGUCAAUGAUCCAUUGACCAUGACAAGAAGCCACGGGUAACAAACCUUGGGCAAAAUCAGUACUGGUAACGGCAUGGGCCUGAGGAGGUGGUGGCGCAUUGAGAGCGGCAAGAAGGCGGGAAUGUUGCUCGGCAGAAAGAUUAGGCAUGGCAACCUGCAAUUCAUGCAGAGUGGGCUGACUGUUCACAUGAUGGGCGGAUGGGCCAGGUUGUGAUGGGCCGUUGGGGCCUAAGGGGGACCGAGAAACACCAUUAGUGAUGCGGGCAGAAGACGCAGCGACGCUGCUACGGCCAGAAGAAGCAGAUCCACUGCUGCGCACAGAACCAGUAGAAGUCGAAUGGCGGCGAGGUGGUCUCCACGGCUGACCAUGAAGGGGAUGGCCAACGGGAUACCCAUGCAGUUUAUGGCAAGUGUCACGGGUGUGGAAGUCAUAAUCACAAUAGGUGCAAUGGAGAGGGGGUCGGUCGGACGAAGAUCGAGAAGAGCUCCGUACAACCAUGGCAGCGGGGAGGGGUCGGCAGGACGUGAAGAACCUAUGGCGCGCUGCUUUUCAGCCUGAGAAACAGAUGAACAGGCCUGGCGGACAGUGGGCAAAGGGUUCAUCAAAAGAAUUUGGUCCCGGACGAUGGCAAACGAAUCGUUAAGACCCAUAAGAAAUUGCAUCAGGUGCUGACGAUCAUGUUUGGUGCCACAAGAACAAGAACAUGCAUCACUAUAGGAGGCGAGCUCGUCCCAAAGCCCUUUCAGGCGAGUAAAGUACGCAGAGACGGAGGAGGACCCUUGGGAGAUGGUGGCAAUUUCACGAUUCAGAUGGAAGAUACGGGGAGCGUUGCUCUGGGAGAAACGCUCACACAGGUCAUCCCAAACAGCCUUGGCAGUAGUGGAAAAAAGAACCGAGUCGGCAAGAUCAGGCUCCAGGGAAGAAAGGAUCCAGGAAAUGAUCAUAUCGUUGCAGCGCCUCCAGGAAGCAUGAGCAUCAGGGUCCUCGGAAGCAGAAGGUUCUUUAAUGUCUCCCGUAAUAAAACCAAGUUUAUUCUUGGCGCUUAAGGAGAUGUGCAUCCCGCGUGCCCAGGUCGUGUAGUUAUCUCCGUUUAACCUCUUGGAGACAAGAACAAGAUUGGGAUGGUCGGAAUGGUGAAGAUAAAANNNNNNNNNNNNNNNNNNNNNNNNNNNNNNNNNNNNNNNNNNNNNNNNNNNNNNNNNNNNNNNNNNNNNNNNNNNNNNNNNNNNNNNNNNNNNNNNNNNNNNNNNNNNNNNNNNNNNNNNNNNNNNNNNNNNNNNNNNNNNNNNNNNNNNNNNNNNNNNNNNNNNNNNNNNNNNNNNNNNNNNNNNNNNNNNNNNNNNNNNNNNNNNNNNNNNNNNNNNNNNNNNNNNNNNNNNNNNNNNNNNNNNNNNNNNNNNNNNNNNNNNNNNNNNNNNNNNNNNNNNNNNNNNNNNNNNNNNNNNNNNNNNNNNNNNNNNNNNNNNNNNNNNNNNNNNNNNNNNNNNNNNNNNNNNNNNNNNNNNNNNNNNNNNNNNNNNNNNNNNNNNNNNNNNNNNNNNNNNNNNNNNNNNNNNNNNNNNNNNNNNNNNNNNNNNNNNNNNNNNNNNNNNNNNNNNNNNNNNNNNNNNNNNNNNNNNNNNNNNNNNNNNNNNNNNNNNNNNNNUGGUCGAGGUCAUCUCAUCAGCUUUCUCGGCGAAGUGAAGUGUUACAGUUUAUUGGGCUCGACACAUUACACGCCGAGUUUAUGUUAUGAUUGGAUACUCUCAAGUGGGAUUUAGAGUUCGGCAUUCCGAUGGCUGAACCACUUUUACCAUUAAGACUUAUGUCCGCUUUGAGUAUUUGUGCCCUUACACUUUGGUGUCGAUUCGGCGUGAGUUUACUCUGACGAAUACCAUCACUGUGACCGAAUCUGACGACGACGAUUCGUGAACUUCGUAAGAAUAGUAGCCUUGUCUUCAGGUUCGAGAACCCAAGAGACCGAGACAUGUUCCUUCCUCGGUCGCAAUCGCAAGACGCAGAAGUCGGCCGCGCACCCAACGCAACGCAACAUCACACAAUUUUACUCCUCGGCCAAGCUCGGCCGACGAGUUGGCACGCCCCGCAUUCAAUCGAAUGACGUAGUUAGCUCAUAGAUUACUCGGCAUGCGCGCCACGUAGGCUUGGUAGUUUUUAGGGUCAACAUUAAGACUUUGGAAUAAAUUCGAUCUCUUUGGGACCAUAUCGGUGCUUCAAUGCUAUACUAUCAUUCAAUUCGUAUACUUGCGAGUACUAAAAUUCAAGACUUAAUGAGGUUAAUUUUGGAUAUCUAAUUUUCGCAACAAACCACCUCAAAGCCCUUUUGAAUAUAUGUCGCUUCUGCCUCCGCCAUUAAACUAGAUUCUUAUGGCAGGUCAGCACCGUCGCCUGCACCCUGAAAAAUACCAACAUAAUCUCUUACCUUGGUGAAGCCAGGAAUUGUCAUCGGGGGUGGGGGGGAGAACUUAGAAAAAGAGAGCGAGGUUCGAAAGAAUGACAACAACCAAAUCCUUUUAUAUAGUAAUGUCUUUCAUAAUUUAUCAAUACAAUAUAAUUUAGUACAUUAAUUUAACCCAUUCAUAUAGACAAAAUCCAAAGGAUAUAUACGAUAUACGAUUAAAAUAUAUGAAAAUAUGCACACAUCAUGGUUCAGAUAGAAUCGGACUCCAAAUGUCUAGUGGAAAUGCUUAACGAAAAAACUCAACUUGACGUUGUGAUUGAAGGCAUUCUCUUUGAUGUUCAGUGCUUGAAACAACAGUUGAGGUCAGUAGAAUUUAUCUUCGCUCCUCAUGUUUGCAAUAAAGCAGCGCAUCUAGUGGCUUCUUUUGUUGCCCAGAAAUGAGGCUUUCAUAAUUGAGAUGGUCUUAAGUCAGAAUAGCUAUUUAAUACUUUGGCUUCAUAGUAAACAUUUUCAUUCGAAUAUAAUCAAAUUGCUUUCUUUUAGAAAAAAAAAUAAGAAAAGUAAAAAAGAGGUUUGUCUAGGGUGUAAAAAAAAUACCGAAAAUUCCAAACCAUACGAAACCGAACCAAAACCAAACCGAUCCCGAAUUAUUCGGUAUGAGAUUCGGUCUCACAUCUUAGCAUCAUUCGGUAUCCAUGUCCCGAACCGAACUUUAAUAAAUAUAUUUUACAUAUAUACAUAUAUGUUGGAAUAUCUAUAAUGGGCCUAUUAUAUAUUAUUAAAAUAAGCAAAGUGUGCAGAAAAGCACAUGAUGUGUUGUGUGUUGCCUAAAUUUCUAUCAAGCAAACAUAUCUAUAAUGGCCUAUUAUAUCAUAUUAAAAUAAGUACAGUGUGCAAAAAAGCAUAUGGGUGCUGUCUAUAGAUACAUCCCUACUCAUUCUCUCUCUCAUCUUUACCUUCACCAAGAGUCUCAGACUCUUUUUCUGUCUUUUCUCUCAAAUUUGAAGCUCAAAGGCCACCCACCCACCCAUCCUCCCAUAAUCUGACUUCAUCCAACUCUCUCCACUCUGGCCACCACCACACCUUACUGCUUCAUCCCUACCUCCGAUUCUCUCCGAUUCUCAUUCUCUCCAGCGAUUCUCUAUGUGUGUGGGGUUUCAAAUUAAGGUUAGGGUUUUAAAUUGGGGUUUAGGGUUUCGAAUUGAGGGCUCGGAUCAUGAGGAAGAUACAGGUCUGACUAUUUCUUUACUCUGUCUCUUUUCUCUCUCUCUCAACCUUCAAUCUUCACUGAUUCACUCAUUGUCUCUGAUUUUAAAUUAGAGUUUUAAUGUAGGUUUAGAUGAUUUCAAGUUCGGUUUUGGGAAUUUCGAAAUACGAAAAUAUUUUGGGAAUCCCAAACUUCGGGAAUACCAAAAUUUUAGUUUGGGAUCAGUCGUCAGAUUUCCGUCUCGAAAAUAGUCAGUUUGGGACUUGAUAUGCCGUUUUCAGUUUGGUAUCCCAUACCAAACCAGCCCUAGGUUUGUCAAGUCAAAGGAACAAGUUGUUGGCCACGUAAGCACUUAGCCAAGUAAAAAAGAAAAAAAAAGUAGUAAUGAACUAUUGUGGCCUUGCACAUGCGAUAAGGUAUUCCAAUCGAGUGCUUAACUGUUUUGUAAAAUCAUUUCAAUAAGGGGUUUUAUAUGAGGUUAGAAAAGUGGUUGAUACAGUUCAAUUUUUUAAACUCUAAGAAAUUUUUUGGGGCUUUAAGAGCAUCUUCAAUAAGGGCUUUAUUCUCCAUGAGACUACUACAUUUCAAGUCUUAGUGAGAAAUUUCAUCUCUAAUGAGCCGAAAAAUUGGGCUGGAUCCAUCAACCAGGCUAGCAACUUCCUUUCUUAGGUAGCAUAAAAUUAGGCUACAUCUAGCCCCAAAAUCCAGUGGGUCCCAUAAAAAAAGUAGCAACCUAUGUGAGCAAAAUUAUAUCACUCUCCCUCCACUUGCGAAUACACUUAGAGCCUAUUUGUUUGCUUUCACUAAGUCUCGUUGGACUAGACUAGACUAAAGGUUAGUCCAAUCUUUUGUUUGUUAUCAACAUGAGACUAGCUUUACUGGGACUAAAGUUCACUCGCUCCGACUAAAACCUUGCUUAGCCGGUCCUAGCGAGGCCCCCCAACCACCUUGGGACUAGCCAAGACCGUUUUCCCUCUCAUGCCGCGUCCUCAUGCUCAUCAUGCAUGACUACGCCAUUUAUAAUGACAACGACGUGUCCUCAUGUUGUCGUCAUUUCGUCUUCGUCUCAAAGUUCAAACCACUGGAAGUAUGAGGUGUUCCUUAGCUUAGGCGACGACACACGCACUACCUUCAUAGACCACAUUUCCAUUGCGUUAUGCGAUGCCGGAAUUAAUACGUUUGUGGACUACCAGCUCAGAAGGGAGGAAAAUAUACAGAGCGAACUUGACGGAGAAUUCGAAGGGUCGAGGAUCAAUCUCGUCAUCUUCUCAAAGAGGUAUGCAGAGUCCGGAUGUUACCUGAGCAAGCCGUCAAAGAUCAUGAGGUGUCGAGAGAAGACCAAGAGGUGAAAGUAGUAUAUCCAAUAUUCUACGACGUUCACUCUUCUCAAAAUAGAGUGGUAGUUUUGGAGAAGCAUUUCAGAAGCAUGAAAAGGAUGACAGUGAGGAAACGAGUCGUCAUUAAAGAUGGAGCAGUCAUGCAGGACGAGCAUGAGGACACGGUGUGAGAGGGAAGACGGUUUUAGCUAGUCCCAAGGUAUUUGGGGGGCCUCGCUAGGACCAGCUUAGCAAUGUUUUAGUCAGAGCAAGUAAACUUUAGUCCCACUAAAGCUAGUCUCAUGCUGAUAACAAACACAAAAUUGGACUAACCUUUAGUCUAGUCUAGUCCAACGAGAAAUAGUGAGGGCAAAAAAGGGGCUCUAAGUAUAUUUGCAAAUGAAGGGAGAGUGAUAUAAUUUUGCUCACAUAGGUUGCUACUUUUUUUAUGGGACCCACUCGAUUUUGGGGCUAGAUAUAGCCCAAUUUUAAGCUAACUAAGAAAGGAAGUUGCUAGUCCGAGUAGUGGAUCUAACCCAAUUUUUCGGCUCAUUUGAGAUGAAAUUUCUCACUAAGACUUGAAAUGUAGUAGUCUCAUGGAGAAUAAAGCCCUUAUUGGAGAUGCUCUUAAAGCCCCAAAAAUUUCUUAGAGUUUAAAUUGAACUGUAUCUACCACUUUUCUAACCUCAUAUAAAACCCCUCAUUGAAAUGCUUUUACAAACAAGUUAAGCACUCGGUUGGAAUACCUUGUUGUGCGUGCAAGGCCACAACAAUUCACUACUACUUUUUUUUUCUUUUUUACUUGGCUAAGUGCUUACGUUGCCAACAACUUGUCACUUUGACUUGACAAACCUAGGGCUGGUUUGGUAUGGGAUACUGAACCGAAAACGGCAUAUCAAGUCCCAAACCGACUAUUUUUGGGACGAAAAUUUGACGACUGAUCCCAAACUAACAUUUCGGUAUUCCCGAAAUUUGGGAUUCCUUAAAUAUUUUCGUAUUUCGAAAUUCUCGAAACCGAACCUGAAAUCAUCUGAACCUGCAUUAAAACCCUAAUUUAAAAUUAGAGACAAUGAGUGAAUCAGUGAAGAUUGAAUGUCGAGAGAAAGGGAGACAGAGUAAAGAGAUAGUCAGACCUACAUCUUCCUUUGGACCCGAGCCCCUAAUUAGAAACCCUAAACCCCAAUUUGAAACCGUAAACCUUAAUUUGAAACCUCACACAUACAGAGAAUCACUGGAGAGAAUCGGAUGAGGGGAUGAAACAGUAAGGUGUGGUGGUGGCCAGAAUGGAGAGAGUUGAUUAAAGUCUGUUGAUGCGCAAAAACAGUGAGGACUUUGGUAUAAUAGAAAGUGUCAAGUUUGUGACCUUCGCUAGAUUGCUCCGGUCACUAGUGUGGAUAAGUAUGUAAAUGGAUAGAGACAUUGAAGCAAACACAAGAUGUAUGUGGUUCACCCAGAUUGGCUACGUCCACGGAGUAGAGGAGUUCUCAUUAAUUGUGAAGGGUUUACAUAAGUACAUAGGUUUAGUGAGUACUAGUGAAUGAUUUAGUACAAAUGACAUUAGAGAUUAUUGUGGGAGAAUGAUCUCCUUUUAUAGAAGAGAGUUUCUAGCUUUGUUCUGGCCUUGACACGUGUCAUGCUGUGAUUGGCCUUUGAUGUUGACAUGUGUCGCCCUGUGAUUGGCCUCUUAGUGUUGACACAUGUUGCGCUAUGAUUGGCCUCCUGGUUGGAGAGAAACUCUUAUGGGUCCUUGAUGGUAUAUAGCGUUGACCGGUGCUUGGUAGUUUCGGGAUUUGUCAAGUAUGGUACAAACAAAGUCAGAUUGUGGGAAGAUGGGUGGGUGGAUGGCCUUUGAGCUUCAAAUUCGAGAGAAAAGACAGAAAGAGUCUGAGACUCUUGGUGAAGGUAAGGAUGAGAGAGAAUGAGUAGGGAUGUAUCUAUAGACAGCACCCAUAUGCUUUUCUGCACACUGUACUUAUUUUAAUAUGAUAUAAUAGGCCAUUAUAGAUAUGUUUGCUUGAUAGAAAUUUAGGCAACACACAACACAUCAUGUGCUUUUCUGCACACUUUGCUUAUUUUAAUAAUAUAUAAUAGGCCCAUUAUAGAUAUUUCAACAUAUAUGUAUAUAUGUAAAAUAUAUUUAUUAAAGUUCGGUUCGGGACAUGGAUACCGAAUGAUGCUAAGAUGUGAGACCGAAUCUCAUACCGAAUAAUUCGGGAUCGGUUUGGUUUUGGUUCGGUUUCGUAUGGUUUGGAAUUUUCGGUAUUUUUUUACACCCCUAGACAAACCUCUUUUUUACUUUUCUUAUUUUUUUUCUAAAAGAAAGCAAUUUGAUUAUAUUCGAAUGAAAAUGUUUACUAUGAAGCCAAAGUAUUAAAUAGCUAUUCUGACUUAAGACCAUCUCAAUUAUGAAAGCCUCAUUUCUGGGCAACAAAAGAAGCCACUAGAUGCGCUGCUUUAUUGCAAAAACAUGAGGAGCGAAGAUAAAUUCUACUGACCUCAACUGUUGUUUCAAGCACUGAACAUCAAAGAGAAUGCCUUCAAUCACAACGUCAAGUUGAGUUUUUUCGUUAAGCAUUUCCACUAGACAUUUGGAGUCCGAUUCUAUCUGAACCAUGAUGUGUGCAUAUUUUCAUAUAUUUUAAUCGUAUAUAUCCUUUGGAUUUUGUCUAUAUGAAUGGGUUAAAUUAAUGUUAAUUACUAAAUUUAUAUUGUAUUGAUAAAUUAUGAAAGACAUUACUAUAUAAAAGGAUUUGGUUGUUGUCAUUCUUUCGAACCUCGCUCUCUUUUAAGUUCUCCCCCCCCCCCACCUCGAUGACAAUUCCUGGCUUCACCAAGGUAAGAGAUUAUGUUGGUAUUUUUCAGGGUGCAGGCGACGGUGCUGACCUGCCAUAAGAAUCUAGUUUAAUGGCGGAGGCAGAAGCAACAUAUAUUCAAAAAGGCUUUGAGGUGGUUUGUUGCGAAAAUUAGAUAUCCAAAAUUAACCUCAUUAAGUCUCGAAUUUUAGUACUCGCAAGUAUACGAAUUGAAUGAUAGUAUAGCAUUGAAGCAUCGAUAUGGUCCCAAAGAGAUCGAAUUUAUUCCAAAGUCUUAAUGUUGACCCUAAAAACUACCAAGCCUACGUGGCGCGCAUGCCGAGUAAUCUAUGAGCUAACUACGUCAUUCGAUUGAAUGCGAGGCGUGCCAACUCGUCGGCCGAGCUUGGCCGAGGAGUAAAAUUUGUUGAUGUUGCGUUGGGUGUGCGGCCGACUUCUGCAUCUUGCGAUUGCGACCGAGGAAGGAAUAUGUCUCGGUCUCUUGGGUUCUCGAACCUGAAGACAAGGCUACUAUUCUUACGAAGUUCACGAAUCGUCGUCGUCAGAUUCGGUCACAGUGAUGGUAUUCGUCAGAGUAAACUCACGCCGAAUCGACACCAAAGUGUAAGGGCAUAAAUACUCAAAGCGGACAUAAGUCUUAAUAGUAAAAGUGGUUCAGCCGUCGGAAUGCCGAACUCUAAAUCCCACUUGAGAGUAUCCAAUCAUAACAUAAACUCGGCAUGUAUGUAAUGUGCCGAGCCCAAUAAACUGUAACACUUCACUUCGCCGAGAAAGCUGAUGAGAUGACCUCGACCAAUAAGGAUUCGGAAAUCCUUCUCGACCGAGACUUGGAUAGAUAAUCAGUCGCCCUCGUUGCAGUGCUGUUUAUCCAAACUGAAGGUGCUUCGCGGUCGGCUGAUUUUACGGCAACAGUGCUGUUUAUCUAAACUUAAGGUGUUUGCCGGUUGCCUUCACAGUGCUGUUUAUCCAAACUGAAGAUGUGUCGGCGAAAAGAUAAAGGAAAAAAUCUCAAGGUUGUUGAGAGAGUUUGCGCAGGGCAGUUGUGUGUUGAAUUGGAUGAGGCUUUUUUUUUUUUGUUCGCGGUACUGUAUUUAUAGAAGAAGAGAAAAUCGUGUGCGCAACUCCCCACCAGUGUAGAAUUUGACUUCAAUUCAAACUUAUCAACUAGAACCUCAGUCAAAGACUUUUCAAGAUAAGCAGGAGAACCAUUCCGUCAUUCCUUAUCUUUAGAAACCGUGCCCUCAGAUUGUCUCCUAGUCCAAUUAGAACUUUAUGUCCACCAUAUUGAUCCAGGUGCAGCCAUGCACGCAAAAUAAGAUAGAAUAUAAUCCCCAAAAACUCUUUCACGUGGCCAAAACCAACAUACCAUCCAAAGGCAUAUAACUGCAUACAUCUUCCUCUGCUGCCGUGCCUUGUACAUACCCUCAUAUAUCCCGUCAUCAUCCAAAUCAAUUGAGAUUUAAUCAAAUAAUAAUUUAAUAUAUUACUAAGAGAUAACAUCAUGAUUAAAAAUCAUAAUAUUAUCCUUUAAUAAAAAUAUCUUCCCUUUUCCAUCCGACGGUUGAGAACUAUGCUUACUCAACGGCCUCAAUUACACAGGCCGAUGGUGUAAAUUUGGAUCCAAACACUUACUAACUAAAUUGAAACAAAUUACAAUUGAGAAGCUUUAACGAAAAAGAGAAAUGAUUUGAAUUUAACUAAAAUUUAAAUAAAGCUUGAAAAUAAUAAAUUGAAAACAUAAGAAAACUAGAUAUAGGGCAUCUGAAUUCACCGUAACCAAGUCUACUUAAUUCUCUUAAUAUGUUAUGCUCAAGUAGUUCUCCAAUAUUGAUGAUCAAUUUUCCUAAAUUAUUCAAUGGUCAUGACAUCUGGUUGCAUCAAAAGUAUCUUACAUGUGAACCCUAUAUGGCAUCUAGAUGGAUUUAAAUGGACUAGGAUUCUCUCCCCUCAUCUUUCCAUCACAUUCCAUCUCCUCCUCUCACACUCUUUAUUUUGUCUUUCUUUUUCUAUAAAAAAUUAAUAUAAGAUACUGACGUGGCUUAAUCGUGACCGUUCAAAUAGGAAGGGAGGGAAUGAGGGAAAAAAGAGAGGAGAGAAUCCUUCUCCGAUUUAAACAAGUAAGAACCCAUUAAGCUCUAUGGAAGUCAUUGGAAAAUCACACAAACCCUAAUUGCAUGACAUCUACAAAUAAGUGUUUAUGGUAUCAAUUGCAAGAAGCUAAACCCAAGUAUGGCAUCUACUCUAACUUGUAUCAAAUUAACUUAACUAAAACUUAGAUGGUGAUCAAGCAUCUAAAUAAAAAUCAAGCGCAUUACGAAUAGCAAAAGAUACUCAAUAUGGAAUAAAAACUUGAUAAUAACAAUGUCACAAGGCAAUUAAGUAUUUAUGAUCAGGCUACAUUAUAACCCUAGCAAAGAAAAACUCCAAAGUAGCUCUCCUCUUUGCCGCAACCAAAUGCCCCCAAACUAAUUUUGCUUGUCCUCGAGCAAACCAAAAUAAAACGCAAAACUCAAAAGAAACAAAUAGUAGCUAACUUCCCAAAUUAACAUAUUUUCAUAUAUGUUAGCUUGGUUUACUGCGUCAAUUAGUGCUUAUAUCUUUUGAUAAUUGAUAUAUAUGCGCGUGAAAUGAUGCGGUGGACGCUCAGGUGAGUUUAUUUAUUUCCAGCUGAGUUAUUUAUAUGAAUUGCAUUGAAAGCUCAUAACCUGCACCUAGGUGAUAGUGUUUAUAUUGUUAUUCACCACACCGCACGCUUGUCUUGGAUCCAAGUAUGUGGAUGUCGUACAGACCAUGUGAGGGUUCCGACAUGCCAGUCGUACAGACCAUUAGAGGGGUUCCGACUGGUGGAUGACCUUAGAUAUGCGUGCUGAUGAUUGAUGUGAGAAGCACUAGAGCGUAUUUAUACACCUGUCACCGUACAGACUACCUUAUGUAGUUCCGAGUGACGUGCAGAGUUAAACCGUACAGGUCACCGAGGUGACUCCGGUUGGAUGAGAUGUUGAGCUUUAGAAUCAGCCGUACAGGACCAUCGUAGGGUCUCCGGUUGACUUAGUAUUCACCUGAUUGAUAUUGAUUUACAUUCUGAUUAUAUUUUGGGCAUGGCAUACCGUUUUCUGUGAUAUAUUAUGAUGAUGAAAAUGUGCUGAGUUAUGAGGUUGAGUAUAUUUAUAUGUUUAUAUACUAUUUUCUGGGAAAGUAUACAGGUUUUUACGGCGAGGGGAUAUAAUUGUUUUAAUGAACUGUUUUGGAAAACUAAUUUGUUUUACUGACCCACUCAUUUUGUUUUGCGCCCCUCCAGGUUCUAGUUUAGCGGUGGUUGGCUCACGAGGUCCUUUUCCGGCUUUCUGACAGACCUUGGACAUGUAGGACUCACCUGAGGGUGAUGUAUUCUUAUUUUAGUCCUACUUGACUGCAGUUACCUAUGCUCUGAACUUAUGUGUUUGUAGUAUAACUCGUCCGGUUAUGUUCGUAGGUGGAUAUGUUUAAGUUGGUUUGAAUUUCAGCUGAUUUAUGUUCUUGUUUUGCUUCCGUGUCGCACCUUUGGUUACGUCACUCCCACGUGACGGCCAGCACACCUGGAUCCCCUGGAUCGGGGUGUGUCAGUUUUAAUAUUGUAUGUAAUUUGUUGUGAGACAUCACGCGAUGAGGCCCUUCAGUUUAAGAGGUUUUGCAAAACCUUUAGCAUAGAACAAAAAAAUGACCAGCCAAUGUUGGAGAUGAUUUGUUGGAACUAAAUAGACUAUAAAAUAGGUAAAGGUAGUAUGUUAGUGUGUGCAACUGCUUUUUACAAAAGGACAUUUAACGAAAAACUUAUGAUAUUGUUCACUUUAACGAAAAACCACAUUUUUACACUAAAAAGUCAAUUUUGGUACUAUUCAUUUUAUCCUUUAUUUUGUCCUUAUCGUUAAAACUCAAAAUUUUCAAGUCUUUUUUCAUUAGUUUUCAUUUUUACAAAAUAGGCGAUGGAUAGAGAGAAUGAGAGCCUACGAACCCUAAUGAGAUUGACCACUGAUUUGAUUGAUGGCUAAGAAUUAACAUCUCUUUUUUCUGUGACUUGAAGCACAAAUAGGUUUGAAACAAUAACAAAUUAAGAAAGCUCUUGAUAUUGGUGAUCUUAUAACUGGUAUAGGAUUAAAUCAAGAUAUUAGUCUCACGCGUCCUUGUGAUACACAGUGGAACUCACAUUAUGGUACUAUAGUUAGUGUUAUUGUUAUGUUUUAAGCCAUGGUGGAGGUGCUUGAAUGGAUUAAAGAUGAUGGCAACCAAGAUAAUUUCAGUGAAGCAAGUUCUUCCACGACAUACAAACUCUUGAUUUUGUGUUUCACCUUUUUUUUAUGAGACUUAUAUUGGGAAUUACAAAUGAGUUAUCACAAGCAUUACCAAAGAAAAUCAAGAUAUUGUGAAUGUGAUGACGUUAGUGGAAGUAUGCAAGCAAAGACUACAAUCCUUGAGAGAUGAUGACUUUGGGGACUUGCUUGAUGAUGUAUAAAAGUUUAGUGAGGAGCAUGAGAUUAUCGUUCCUAACAUGGAGGAUUUGCAUUUCUUACCCGAAAAAUCAAAGUGUAAAGCUCCAAGACUCACAAACUUCUUUACUAUCGUGUGAACCUCUAUUUUCAAGUUCUUGAUAUGCAACUAAAGGAAUUGAAUGAUCGCUUUAAUGAGGUAAACACCGAGUUGCUUCUUUGUAUGGCAUGUUUGAGUCCGGUAAAUAAUUUUGCAUCUUUUGACAAAGCAAAAAUUGUUUAUUUAGCCCAACUUUAUCCUCAAGAUUUUGAUCGUAUGGAACUCAUGAAUCUUCCAAUUCAACUUGAAAAUUACAUUCAUGAUAUGAAGAUGCAUAGUGAGUUUUCAUCAUUGAGAGGAAUUAGUAAUCUUGCAAAUGAGUUAGUGAAGACCAGGAGGCGUGUAAGCUAUAUGUUAGUGUAUAAGCUUCUUACAUUGGUUUUGGUGUUACCGGUUGCAACAGCUUCGGUGGAGAGAGCUUUCUGUUAUGAAGAUUGUGAAAACACCAUUGCAUAACAAAAUGGGAGAUCAAUGGUUGAGUGAUAGCGUGUUUGUUUACAUUGAGUGAGAUGUAUCUGCUUUUAUUGAUAAUGAGUCUGUUAUGCGAUGUUUUCAUGACAUGAAACCUCGCCGGCAACAAUUGUAAUUUGUUUGUAUUGAUAAAAGGAUUUGGUUGUUGUCACAUUCUUUUGAACCUUGCACUCUUUUAAGUUCGCCCUUCCCCCCAACAAUUCCCGGCAAUGGUCAUGGCAUCUGGUUGCAUCAAAAGUAUCUUACAUGUGAACCCUAUAUGGCAUCUAGAUGGAUUUAAAUGGACUAGGAUUCUCUCCCCUCAUCUUUCCAUCCCAUUCCAUCUCCUCCUCUCACACUCUUUAUUUUGUCUUUCUCUUUCUAUAAAAAAUUAAUAUAAGAUACUGACGUGGCUUAACCGUGACCGUUCAAAUAGGAAGGGAGGGAAUGAGGGAAAAAAGAGAGGAGAGAAUCCUUCUCCGAUUUAAACAAGUAAGAACCCAUUAAGCUCUAUGGAAGUCAUUGGAAAUCACACAAACCCUAAUUGCAUGACAUCUACAAAUAAGUGUUUAUGGUAUCAAUUGCAAGAAGCUAAACCCAAGUAUGGCAUCUACUCUAACUUGCAUCAAAUCAACUUAACUAAAACUUAGAUGGUGAUCAAGCAUCUAAAUAAAAAUCAAGCGCAUUACGAAUAGCAAAAGAUAAAAUAAAACUCCAAAGUAAAACCCUAGCAAAGAAAAACUCCAAAGUAGCUCUCCUCUUUGCCGCAACCAAAUGCCCCCAAACUAAUUUUGCUUGUCCUCGAGCAAACCAAAAUAAAACGCAAAACUCAAAAGAAACAAAUAGUAGCUAACUUCCCAAAUUAACAUAUUUUUCAUAUAUGUUAGCUUGGUUUACUGCGUCAAUUAGUGCUUAUAUCUUUUGGUAAACUUUCAUAACGAAUCAUAUUGAGUCAUAAUUUUUUUUUUUAACAUGUAUCAAUGACAUAACCCGCUGCAGAACCAAACUGUAGCACACAAUUCAUCACUGCUAUGACAGCUAAGACAUUCCAAAUCACACAAGUUUACAUACAUUGGGAUAAAACCCACAGUUAUUCAUUGUUAAAUAUAAUUACAAUAAGUUGAUUUUUGUUGGAUGCAACCAUCCAACUACUAUGAUCCUUCAGCGCCCAAUGUUGGAUUUUCUAAGGCGAAGAAACUCCAUACUCAAAAUCGUGGGCAUCGGCUGGAGAGAGAUUGUCUUCGCGUCUUGGGUUGAAGUGCGAGACCUUGAAGAAUAUGAGAACUGGAUCAUCUGGGUCCUCUUCUUCUUAUUAUUCUUUCUUCAAAUGCUUGUAACUCUUAUGGUUAGAGAGAAGCAGAGAAAGGAAAGAGAGAGGGAAAGAGGGGGCGACGAGAGACGGGGGAGAGGAGAAAGUGGGUGAAUCAAAGAAAAAAAGUAAUAGGUGAGGGAGAGAGAGAGGGGAGAGGAGAGAGUGGGGUGGGUGAAAAAGAGUAAUCUUUCUUUAUACCCAAAAGGAGAAAAAAGAUAAAAAAAGAAAAGAAAAAGUGCUGACUAGGCUAUGGGAAAGAAGUUACCGACAUCUCUCUUCCCUCCUCGGUUAUAAAUAGGGGGGUAUUUCAAAAAAAAAAAAAAACAGUAGUAGGAACUCUUGCCCACGCAACGAGGUAUUCCAACCGAGUGCUCGACUGACUUGUCUGUAAGUCUCUGGUUUUUGUUAGUGCGAUGAUGUCCCCAACAACAUUCUGGAUAAACAAUCCUUCACGCCUGCAAAUUGAGAGUCCAAAUUAUUCAAACAGAUGAUUCAUCAUAUCAUGCAACACCAAGAUUCAUAUGAACUAAACUAAUUCAUCAUAUAUGUUCAAUUAAGAAUUAUUUAGACGACCCUUAAGCUGACAUGACCAGACUGGUGGAUAACCCACUGGGAAUUUAUACAGAAAACGAGCCCUAUUACUUGCAACAACAUAAGGUUCCUGUGAGUAGAAGCUCUUCUUUGAUCAAUCAUCCAUGGCUUCCUCAGUUUUUUUUAUCAAUCGUCCAUGUGAUUAUUGAUCUGCUAAUGAAUUAGGCUUUGCUAUAUUUGUUCCAACAUCUGGUAUCAGAGCCAAUAAUAUUGGCUUCUCAUUAAUCCGUCAAGGCUGAUGCUUAUGUAAUUACUAAUCAUUAUUUUCUUCUUCUAAUUACUAAUUAUUAUAUUCUUCUUCUAAUCAUUAAUCUGAUUAUACAAGAUGUUCCAAGCGAUUAAAUUUUGUAAAAGAGGAAAUUUGAAUUUAUACCCGUCCGCCGUGGUUUUAAGAUUCCGGCCACACAAAUCUGCACAAGCCUUAAGGUCCCUUCUCCACUGCUCCACCUCAUCUGGAUCUUCAUCCCUUUCAUGCUUCCGAAAUGCUUCCCCAAAACUACCGCUCUGUUUCCUCACUUGAGAAGGGUCAACGUCGUAGAAUAUUGGAUAGACUACUUUCCCCUCUUGGUCUUCGCGGCACCUCAUGAUCUUCGACAGCUCGCUCAGGCAACAUCCGGCCUCCGCAUACCUCUUUGAGAAGACGACGACGGCGAUCCUCGACCCUUCGAUUUCUCCGUCAAGUUCGCUCGGUGUAUUUUCCUCCCUUCUGAGCUGGUAGUCUACAAACGUGUUAAUUCCGGCGUCGCGUAACGCAAUGGAGAGGUGGUCUGUGAAGGUAGUGCGUGUGUCGUCGCCUAAGCUGAGGAACACCUCGUACUUCCAGUGGUUUGAACGCCGAGACGAAGCGGCGGCGGCGGCGGCGGUUGCAUGGGCGGAUCUGCUGGUAUUCAUUGAUUUCAAGUAAAGAAGAGAAAAACUCCUGAUUGUUUCAGUCUAAAGAAAACAAGUAUUUCCCAAGAUUCCCAGUGAAACUCCUGAUUAUUUUUUGAAUAGCUGGAAGAUGUGAGAGCAAAGCAAAUUCAGGACCGCAGCUCUUUGUCUCGAUCUCGAUCUCGGUCAGAAUUGGCGGUGGAAAGAAGACGGAGAAAAAAAAGAUAAUUGGGGAGACGAAGAAAGAAGAGGGAGAGACAAUGCAAAAGCUGCGGCUGACAAGAAAAGAAGAAAGAAGGGAGAAGUUGUCUGCCCUCCACUUCGGUGUUCUUCCGUGCCAUUCUAUUUUGUGUGGUCACGUUUAAGACACGUCAACAUUUUAUAUUAUUUUUUUAUAGAUAUAAUAAGACAAAAAUGAAUAUUAAUAUAAAAUUUUAACAUGGCUUAACCGUGACCACACAAACAAAGGAUACGGGGAUGGCACCGAAAGUGGAGAGCAGACAAUUCUUGUCUAAAAAGAAUAUGCUAGCUAGGGUUUGUAGUAGAAGAGAUUUUUCAGUAUGUCCGGUAUAUUAGUUGGUAUAUUAGUUGGUAUAUUACGUAUCAUUAUAUAAAUGAUGAGAUAUGUGUUUUAAAAUGUUAAUAAAUUUUUUUAUCAUUUCUACACGUAAGGUAUCACUUGUAUUCUCACUUGUAUUCUUGUCGUAAUUAAAAAUUUCUAGUAUGAAGGCUUUUCUCAACGUGUGCUUCAAGUUUAGCUUUUUGUUAUAAAAUAUGUGAAUGCCCCAUACAGGCACUACACUUUGCUUCUUUGGCAUGCUUUGGUUUUUUGGCUUAUUCUUCUAAAGCAUGAUUCCUUUGGUUGAAAUGUUUGGUGUGGAAAUUAGGCUCCACUAAGAAAAUGUCAUUCCACUAGCUGCCAUUGAUUGCUCCUACUUUUCCCAUAAAUACAAGGCACACGGAAAGGAACAGGUGAUACACGGCAGAAAGAGAGAGGAAGAAGAAGAGGAAGAAGAGAUGGCAGAAUAGAAAUAGUUAUUUUUGUACACAUAUUAUUCUAGAUUAUAAAUGAAAGCAUCAGUGUUGUUCCGAUAACGUACUUCAGUCACAUUGACUGUAGAAGAAUCCCGUAAAUAUUGCGUCUUAUUUCAUUUAUUCUACUGCACACACAUCGUCAAUUUUACAACAUUUUUAACAUAUUUGUGUUUAGAAAUUAGUCUUCAAAUUGGGUAAAAACACAAAUACCUAAUAUAAAUAAAUAAAAUUAAUAUAUAUUCGGUUCAGUUCACUGAAACCGAAAUGGGUACAAAAAAUAAAUACCUAACAUAAAUAAAAUUAAGGGAGUUUUAACGAAAAGUCCACGGUACUGUUCACUUUAACGAAAAACCACAUUUUUACACUAAAAAGUCAAACCGGAUACUAUUCACUUUACCCUUUAUUUUGUCCUUAUCAUUAAAACUCAAAGUUUUCAAACCCUUUUCAUUAGUUUUCCUUAAAAUUAAUAUAUGUUCGGUUCGGUUCGGUUCUCUUUUUUAAUUUGGUUCAAUUUUUUUUUUGUUUGGUUUUUUCAAUUUCGAUUCGGUGUUUAGUUCGGUUUUUUUCGUUUGUCGGUUUUUUUAACGCACCCUUAGUUCACGACCUUAUUCUAUUUUAAGGGUGGUGCACAGGUUGGUUCAAUUGCUGUUGGUGGGCAUCAUGGGUUUAUGAACAAACAUGACAAGGUUGCAUUGGACAUGGCACAUGUUUGUGGGUUUUGCAUUGAUUGAAUUGUAUUUUAAAUGCAGACAGAUGAGCGAGAGUUUGGUGAUCAACGCUCCAAUUAGGACAAAGUCUGAGGACCAAUUUUUUUUUUUUUUUUUUUUAAAAUAAUAAUAAUAUGUCACUUAUGCGAUAUGUUAACAUUAAAAUCUUAUCAUAAUAAUUUAUAUGUAACGAGUUAAUAAUCACGUGACGUUUUUGUCACAGCCCGUCCCGGAGGUACUGUUGACGGGAAUGUGAAAUGACGAAAAUGCCCUUGACGUUACUAAGGUGCGUUGGUGAAAUGUUUUAGAUAUUUAUAUUUUCCUAACCUAUUGGAAAUGUUAUCUAAGUUGGAUAAAAUAUUAAAAGGUUGAUUUUGUUGUUUUGGCUAAGGAUUGAAAAAUGGAUGGUGUGGAUCAAUUGGGACCACACAGGACCCUCCUUCCCUUUCCUUUCCCCGUGCAUUCCCUGUCUGUCUCUCCUUCACGAUCUCACACCCACGCAUACACCCAAAUACGUACGGCACACCCCAAACCCUCCAAAAACUCGACGGAUCGAGGCAAAUAAGGGAAUUUCAAGCUUGUAGUGGGCUUUAUGAGGUCCUAAGGAAGCUCGGGGACGUUCGUUGGACAGUUUUGGACGUCGGGAUCGUGGGUUUCAAAGUUGGCCGAAUUCUUGGAUUUUUCUCGGUGAGAUUUCUUGAUUUUUAGACCCUAAAACUAGUCCAACGUGAUAGUACACUCUUAGGGCUUCAAAUUGAUAUAAAAUACGAAGAAAAUGGGUGAAAAACGAAGGAGAACAAGAGGUUUAAAGUUUGGCCGGAAUUGGGUCGCCGGAAAAACCAGUCCGGCGAACCCUGGGGAAGACGAUGACACGUGCCGCGCGUGGCUGCGCGUGGCCUACGCGUAGAGCCGAGCUCUAGUCGGCGCGUGAGGGCGCGUGGGGAGUCCAAAAUUGUUUCUAAAAAUUUCCCGACGCUCUUGACGUCGAGUAAGUCGAUGUGGUAUAUUCAUAAACCCAAAUUGAGCAUCGUAUGAGAAUUUUUUUUGGAAUUUUGGUGAUGUGUUUAAAAUUAACGUUUUUAUAGUUGUUUCGCAUAUAGGUGAGACGUAUCCCGAGGACGACCGCAUCCAGGGACGCCACGGGGGUUACGACCCGUCGACAUAUCAGUGAGUGGGCAGUUUUGAUUUCGUAUUUACCUAUAUACAUCUAUUUUCCCAGAAAAUACGCGUUUUAUAAAUUUAAUUUGCCAUGCAUGAAAAUAUUGAAAUACUGGAAUUGAUAAUUGAUAUAUGCGCGUGAAAUGAUGCGGUGGACGCUCAGGUGAGUUUAUUUAUUUCCAGCUGAGUUAUUUAUAUGAAUUGCAUUGAAAGCUCAUAACCUGCACCUAGGUGAUAGUGAUUAUAUUGUUAUUCACCACACCGCACGCUCGUCUUGGAUCCAAGUAUGUGGAUGUCGUACAGACCAUGUGAGGGUUCCGACAUGCCAGUCGUACAGACCAUUAGAGGGGUUCCGACUGGUGGGUGACCUUAGAUAUGCGCGCUGAUGAUUGAUGUGAGAAGCACUAGAGCGUAUUUAUACACCUGUCACCGUACAGACUACCUUAUGUAGUUCCGAGUGACGUGCAGAGUUAAACCGUACAGGUCACCGAGGUGACUCCGGUUGGAUGAGAUGUUGAGCUUUAGAAUCAGCCGUACAGGACCAUCGUAGGGUCUCCGGUUGACUUAGUAUUCACCUGAUUGAUAUUGAUUUACAUUCUGAUUAUAUUUUGGGCAUGGCAUACCGUUUCUGUGAUAUUAUGAUGAUGAAAUGUGCUGAGUUAUGAGGUUGAGUAUAUUUAUAUGUUUAUAUACUAUUUUCUGGGAAAGUAUACAGGUUUUUACGGCGAGGGGAUAUAAUUGUUUUAAUGAACUGUUUUGGAAAACUAAUUUGUUUUACUGACCCACUCAUUUUGUUUUGCGCCCCUCCAGGUUCUAGUUUAGCGGUGGUUGGCUCACGAGGUCCUUUUCCGGCUUUCUGACAGACCUUGGACAUGUAGGACUCACCUGAGGGUGAUGUAUUCUUAUUUUAGUCCUACUUGACUGCAGUUACCUAUGCUCUGAACUUAUGUGUUUGUAGUAUAACUUGUCCGGUUAUGUUCGUAGGUGGAUAUGUUUAAGUUGGUUUGAAUUUCAGCUGAUUUAUGUUCUUGUUUUGCUUCCGUGUCGCACCUUUGGUUACGUCACGCCCACGUGACGGCCAGCACACCUGGAUACCCCGGAUCGGGGUGUGUCAGUUUUAAUAUUGUAUGUAAUUUGUUGUGAGACAUCACGUGAUGAGGCCCUUCAGUUUGAGAGGUUUUGCAAAACCUUUAGCAUAGAACAAAAAAAUGACCAGCCAAUGUUGGAGAUGAUUUGUUGGAACUAAAUAGACUAUAAAAUAGGUAAAGGUAGUAUGUUAGUGUGUGCAACUGCUUUUUACAAAAGGACAUUUAACGAAAAACUUAUGAUAUUGUUCACUUUAACGAAAAACCACAUUUUACACUAAAAAGUCAAUUUUGGUACUAUUCAUUUUAUCCUUUAUUUUGUCCUUAUCGUUAAAACUCAAAAUUUUCAAGUCUUUUUCAUUAGUUUUCAUUUUUACAAAAUAGGCGAUGGAUAGAGAAUGAGAGCCUACGAACCCUAAUGAGAUUGACCACUGAUUUGAUUGAUGGCUAAGAAUUAACAUCUCUUUUUUCUGUGACUUGAAGCACAAAUAGGUUUGAAACAAUAACAAAUUAAGAAAGCUCUUGAUAUUGGUGAUCUUAUAACUGGUAUAGGAUUAAAUCAAGAUAUUAGUCUCACGCGUCCUUGUGAUACACAGUGGAACUCACAUUAUGGUACUAUAGUUAGUGUUAUUGUUAUGUUUUAAGCCAUGGUGGAGGUGCUUGAAUGGAUUAAAGAUGAUGGCAACCAAGAUAAUUUCAGUGAAGCAAGUUCUUCCACGACAUACAAACUCUUGAUUUUGUGUUUCACCUUUUUUUUAUGAGACUUAUAUUGGGAAUUACAAAUGAGUUAUCACAAGCAUUACCAAAGAAAAUCAAGAUAUUGUGAAUGUGAUGACGUUAGUGGAAGUAUGCAAGCAAAGACUACAAUCCUUGAGAGAUGAUGACUUUGGGGACUUGUUUGAUGAUGUACAAAAGUUUAGUGAGGAGUAUGAGAUUAUCGUUCCUAACAUGGAGGAUUUGCAUUUCUUACCCGAAAAAAUCAAAGUGUAAAGCUCCAAGACUCACAAACUUCUUUACUAUCGUGUGAACCUCUAUUUUCAAGUUCUUGAUAUGCAACUAAAGGAAUUGAAUGAUCGCUUUAAUGAGGUAAACACCGAGUUGCUUCUUUGUAUGGCAUGUUUGAGUCCGGUAAAUAAUUUUGCAUCUUUUUGACAAAGCAAAAAUUGUUUAUUUAGCCCAACUUUAUCCUCAAGAUUUUGAUCGUAUGGAACUCAUGAAUCUUCCAAUUCAACUUGAAAAUUACAUUCAUGAUAUGAAGAUGCAUAGUGAGUUUUCAUCAUUGAGAGGAAUUAGUAAUCUUGCAAAUGAGUUAGUGAAGACCAGGAGGCGUGUAAGCUAUAUGUUAGUGUAUAAGCUUCUUACAUUGGUUUUGGUGUUACCGGUUGCAACAGCUUCGGUGGAGAGAGCUUUCUGUUAUGAAGAUUGUGAAAACACCAUUGCAUAACAAAAUGGGAGAUCAAUGGUUGAGUGAUAGCGUGUUUGUUUACAUUGAGUGAGAUGUAUCUGCUUUUAUUGAUAAUGAGUCUGUUAUGCGAUGUUUUCAUGACAUGAAACCUCGCCGGCAACAAUUGUAAUUUGUUUUGUAUUGAUAAAAGGAUUUGGUUGUUGUCACAUUCUUUUGAACCUUGCACUCUUUUAAGUUCGCCCUUCCCCCCAACAAUUCCCCGGCAAUGGUCAUGGCAUCUGGUUGCAUCAAAAGUAUCUUACAUGUGAACCCUAUAUGGCAUCUAGAUGGAUUUAAAUGGACUAGGAUUCUCUCCCUCAUCUUUCCAUCCACAUUCCAUCUCCUCCUCUCACACUCUUUAUUUUGUCUUUCUCUUUCUAUAAAAAAUUAAUAUAAGAUACUGACGUGGCUUAACCGUGACCGUUCAAAUAGGAAUGGAGGGAAUGAGGGAAAAAAGAGAGGAGAGAAUCCUUCUCCGAUUUAAACAAGUAAGAACCCAUUAACCUCUAUGGAAGUCAUUGGAAAAUCACACAAACCCUAAUUGCAUGACAUCUACAAAUAAGUGUUUAUGGUAUCAAUUGCAAGAAGCUAAACCCAAGUAUGGCAUCUACUCUAACUUGCAUCAAAUCAACUUAACUAAAACUUAGAUGGUGAUCAAGCAUCUAAAUAAAAAUCAAGCGCAUUACGAAUAGCAAAAGAUAAAAUAAAACUCCAAAGUAAAACCCUAGCAAAGAAAAACUCCAAAGUAGCUCUCCUCUUUGCCGCAACCAAAAUGCCCCCAAACUAAUUUUGCUUGUCCUCGAGCAAACCAAAAUAAAACGCAAAAACUCAAAAGAAACAAAUAGUAGCUAACUUCCCAAAUUAACAUAUUUUCAUAUAUGUUAGCUUGGUUUACUGCGUCAAUUAGUGCUUAUAUCUUUUGGUAAACUUUCAUAACGAAUCAUAUUGAGUCAUAAUUUUUUUUAACAUGUAUCAAUGACAUAACCCGCUGCAGAACCAAACUGUAGCACACAAUUCAUCACUGCUAUGACAGCUAAGACAUUCCAAAUCACACAAGUUUACAUACAUUGGGAUAAAACCCACAGUUAUUCAUUGUUAAAUAUAAUUACAAUAAGUUGAUUUUUGUUGGAUGCAACCAUCCAACUACUAUGAUCCUUCAGCGCCCAAUGUUGGAUUUUCUAAGGCGAAGAAACUCCAUACUCAAAAUCGUGGGCAUCGGCUGGAGAGAGAUUGUCUUCGCGUCUUGGGUUGAAGUGCGAGACCUUGAAGAAUAUGAGAACUGGAUCAUCUGGGUCCUCUUCUUCUUAUUAUUCUUUCUUCAAAUGCUUGUAACUCUUAUGGUUAGAGAGAGAGAAGCAGAGAAAGGAAAGAGAGAGGGAAAAGAGGGGGCGACGAGAGACGGGGGAGAGGAGAAAGUGGGUGAAUCAAAGAAAAAAAGUAAUAGGUGAGGGAGAGAGAGAGGGGAGAGGAGAGAGUGGGGUGGGUGAAAAAGAGUAAUCUUUCUUUUAUACCCAAAAGGAGAAAAAAGAUAAAAAAAGAAAAGAAAAAGUGCUGACUAGGCUAUGGGAAAGAAGUUACCGACAUCUCUCCUUCCCUCCUCGGUUAUAAAUAGGGGGGGUAUUUCAAAAAAAAAAAAAAAAACAGUACUAGGAACUCUUGCCCACGCAACGAGGUAUUCCAACCGAGUGCUCGACUGACUUGUCUGUAAGUCUCUGGUUUUUGUUAGUGCGAUGAUGUCCCCAACAACAUUCUGGAUAAACAAUCCUUCACGCCUGCAAAUUGAGAGUCCAAAUUAUUCAAACAGAUGAUUCAUCAUAUCAUGCAACACCAAGAUUCAUAUGAACUAAACUAAUUCAUCAUAUAUGUUCAAUUAAGAAUUAUUUAGACGACCCUUAAGCUGACAUGACCAGACUGGUGGAUAACCCACUGGGAAUUUAUACAGAAAACGAGCCCUAUUACUUGCAACAACAUAAGGUUCCUGUGAGUAGAAGCUCUUCUUUGAUCAAUCAUCCAUGGCUUCCUCAGUUUUUUUUAUCAAUCGUCCAUGUGAUUAUUGAUCUGCUAAUGAAUUAGGCUUUGCUAUAUUUGUUCCAACAUCUGGUAUCAGAGCCAAUAAUAUUGGCUUCUCAUUAAUCCGUCAAGGCUGAUGCUUAUGUAAUUACUAAUCAUUAUUUUCUUCUUCUAAUUACUAAUUAUUAUAUUCUUCUUCUAAUCAUUAAUCUGAUUAUACAAGAUGUUCCAAGCGAUUAAAUUUUGUAAAAGAGGAAAUUUGAAUUAUACCCGUCCGCCGUGGUUUUAAGACUCC
rnacentral:lncRNA from 1 species